rnacentral:rRNA from 1 species
UGCAAGUCGAGCGAACAGACGAGGAGCUUGCUCCUCUGACGUUAGCGGCGGACGGGUGAGUAACACGUGGAUAACCUACCUAUAAGACUGGGAUAACUUCGGGAAACCGGAGCUAAUACCGGAUAACAUGUUGAACCGCAUGGUUCAACAGUGAAAGACGGUCUUGCUGUCACUUAUAGAUGGAUCCGCGCCGCAUUAGCUAGUUGGUAAGGUAACGGCUUACCAAGGGAACGAUGCGUAGCCGACCUGAGAGGGUGAUCGGCCACACUGGAACUGAGACACGGUCCAGACUCCUACGGGAGGCAGCAGUAGGGAAUCUUCCGCAAUGGGCGAAAGCCUGACGGAGCAACGCCGCGUGAGAGAAGAAGGUCUUCGGAUCGUUAAACUCUGUUAUUAGGGAAGAACAAAUGUGUAAGUAACUAUGCACGUCUUGACGGUACCUAAUCAGAAAGCCACGGCUAACUACGUGCCAGCAGCCGCGGUAAUACGUAGGUGGCAAGCGUUAUCCGGAAUUAUUGGGCGUAAAGCGCGCGUAGGCGGUUUUUUAAGUCUGAUGUGAAAGCCCACGGCUCAACCGUGGAGGGUCAUUGGAAACUGGAAAACUUGAGUGCAGAAGAGGAAAGUGGAAUUCCAUGU